rnacentral:rRNA from 1 species
GACGAACGCUGGCGGCGUGCUUAACACAUGCAAGUCGAACGGAAAGGCCCUGCUUUUGUGGGGUGCUCGAGUGGCGAACGGGUGAGUAACACGUGAGUAACCUGCCCUUGACUUUGGGAUAACUUCAGGAAACUGGGGCUAAUACCGGAUAGGAGCUCCUGCUGCAUGGUGGGGGUUGGAAAGUUUCGGCGGUUGGGGAUGGACUCGCGGCUUAUCAGCUUGUUGGUGGGGUAGUGGCUUACCAAGGCGUUGACGGGUAGCCGGCCUGAGAGGGUGACCGGCCACAUUGGGACUGAGAGAAGGCCCAGGCUCCUACGGGAGGCAGCAGUGGGGAAUAUUGAACAAUGGGCGGAAGCCUGAUGCAGCAGCGCCGCGGGCGGGAUGACGGCCUUCGGGUUGUAAAACGCUUUCGCCUGUGACGAAGCGUGAGUGACGGUAAUGGGUAAAGAAGCACCGGCUAACUACGUGC